GGCUCAGAUUGAACGCUGGCGGAAUGCUUUACACAUGCAAGUCGAACGGUAACAGGUCUUCGGAUGCUGACGAGUGGCGAACGGGUGAGUAAUAUAUCGGAACGUGCCCAGUCGUGGGGGAUAACGUAGCGAAAGUUACGCUAAUACCGCAUACGAUCUAUGGAUGAAAGCGGGGGAUCGCAAGACCUCGCGCGAUUGGAGCGGCCGAUGUCAGAUUAGCUAGUUGGUGGGGUAAAGGCCCACCAAGGCGACGAUCUGUAGCUGGUCUGAGAGGACGACCAGCCACACUGGGACUGAGACACGGCCCAGACUCCUACGGGAGGCAGCAGUGGGGAAUUUUGGACAAUGGGCGCAAGCCUGAACCAGCCAUGCCGCGUGCAGGAAGACGGUCCUAUGGAUUGUAAACUGCUUUUAUUUGGGAAUAAACCUAUUUACGUGUAGAUAGCUGAAGGUACCAAAUGAAUAAGCACCGGCUAACUCCGUG
rnacentral:rRNA from 1 species